ensembl:lncRNA
UGGCUAGAUGAAUCCAGCGCUCUGUGUCAGGCGGAAGCUCCUUCUUGCCUCGUGCCCGUUUGGAUGGAGGCUCGUUCGGCUCACUGCUGGAAUGUAAGAGGCUCUGCUCCAGAAGGAGGAUGCCCAUGGGUUGCUGCAGACUGGCCAAACAGCUGGCACUGACACUGGCUGGCUGCACAUCCAGUAGAGAGGAGUGAUGAAGGCUUGGAUUGUUCCAUCUCCUUCAGCACGCCAGAAAACAGCGAGCUGAACAGCUGCUUGGCCAGGGUGGAGUCCCUCUGCAGAGGAACCGUCGCCUCAGUCUUAGGAUAUCAGCACGUCUUUCCCGUUCGGCUGUACGGAAAUAAAUACUUUCACUGUAAUAUAAACAGUGGCACGUCGG